AUGCGGCGCUGGCGGGAGGCGGCGCUGGCGGCGCUGACGGCAGUGCAGCUCGUGGCUGCAGGCAGAGCCUGGGUGCAGCAGGAACCGUUGGUCGAGACCACCGAGGGCACCGAAAUAAACAGCAACUGCUCACACCCCGACAUCCAGUCAAAAGAAUUGAUCUACUGGUACGGUCAGCUGCCGGGCCGAGGCCCCGAACUCCUCGUGAGCAUUCACAAAGGCUCCAAAGAUCCGCCGGACAAGGCGGGACGGGUGUCAGUGUCACCAGACCGUCACCGGAACUCCCUGUGCCUCUCCCGGUCUCAUGUUGGGGAUGCGGUUAUGUAUUCCUGCGCCCUGGCAGACAUGGCCAGAGGAGCCGGGGCUGUGGCCGGGGACACAGCGUCAGCCGGGGCCAACAGGGGCCACUCCUGCACCUCCAAGAUUUCUUCCAUGCCCGUGCCCCAGUGAAGUAGUCUUCUGUUUUUGGGAUGAAAUAUUCCAGGAUUUCCAGGGCAAGGACUCAGUGAUGUCAGGAGUAGACUCAGCUCCAGGGCUGGAUGCAUCCAGAGCAGGCAAAUGAUGCAUCAGUCUGGAUCACUCUGGUGGGCUCAUUUGAAGUGCUGUUCUCAGGAAGAAGCUGCAGCAAUCAUCUGUGGCUACCCAAGGACUCCUGGGCAUGAGGAUGGGCCAUGUCAUUCUCUUUCCCCCCCUCCUCAGCUCACCCCAAUGGUCAGCGGUUGUUGCCUCUCUACAUGUGUGCUUUGGGCAGCUGCUUUGACCCUGUCCUGCCCUCAGGAAAGUAUUCGGGCCUCUUCUGACUUCUCCCACACUGGUCAGUCUCUGAGCACACAAACAGUGUCACGGGCUUGCCUAGAGCCUUGUCCUUCCCAGCCCUGCGGUCUUGUCCCCAGGUGUCCUCAGCAGAGUCCAUGGUUGGUUGUUUUCCUACAUGGCUUCCUGGUUUGUGUGCACUUGUGUGCAGCUGGGUUCCACAUGAAACGCUGUGGGAGCACAGAUUUGUGCAUGAGUCACAUCAACGUGCCUGAGCCUCUCCCUGUGUGUGUCCUUGUGUGUUACUCACCAAGUGAAAUGUGCUGGGGACACUCCACUGCUCUGUCUGUGAGCAACACAGAGCAGCAUUUUCCCAGAUUCAGGAGGAGCCUGAGUGCAUGUUGCUGGUUUUGGCCUGGGUAGAGUGAACUUUCUUCACAGUGGUUGCUAUGGGGCUGGUUUUAUGGAUUCGUGCUGAACCCAGGGUUGAUAAUACAGAGGCAUCUUUAAUAUUGCUGAGCUUACACAGAGCAAAAGCUUUUUCUGCUUUUUCUGCUGCCACGCUGGCAAGGAAAUUGGUGGUGAAUUGGAUGUUAGGAGGACACACAGCCAGGACAGGUGACUCACACUGAGCAAAGGGAUAUGCCAGACCUUAUGACAUCACGCUCAGUAUUUAAACCUUGGGGGGAAGAAGGAGGAAGGAGGGGAGGCUUGUUAUGAUGGUGUUUGUUUUCCAAAGUUCCCAUCAUGCGUGAUGGGGACUUGCUCUGCUGGAGGCAGCUGAACACCUGCCUGCCCAUGGGAAGCAGGGAAUAAAUUUUUUGUAUUGUUUUGCUUCUGUGCAUGCCUUCUAUUUUCCCAAUUAAGCUGUCUUUUUCUGACCCUGUGAGUUUCCUUGCUUUUACCCAUCUGGUUGUCUCCUGGAUGCUGCUGAGGGGGGAGUGAGUGAGCAGCUGUGUGGGCCUUGGUUGCUGGCCAGGGUUGAAAGCAGGACGGUGCAGUUGAACAGUUAUGUACCAGCCUGCAACAGACCUGCUCAAGAAAGAAGCAUCGACCUGCCCCCUGUGCCGUCCUUUCCUGCUGCUCUACAGAUCAAACUCUCGCUCUGCUGCUGCCAAUUCCAGGGCCCAACAAGGACGGAAUCACCAAAAUUUGCA